AUGCCGAAUGGCAGGCUCUCCAUUGGCCUAGCCGGGCUGGCCACCGACGUCCAGACAGUUGCACAGCGCCUCAAGUUCCGACUGAACCUGUACGAGUUGAAGGAAGGCCGGCAGAUCAAGCCUUACACACUCAUGAGCAUGGUGGCAAACUUUCUGUAUGAGAAACGGUUUGGUCCCUACUACACAGAGCCAGUCAUCGUGGCCUUGGACCCCAAGACCUAUAAGCCCUUGAUCUGCUCUCUCGACCUCAUCGGCUGCCCUAUGGUAAUGGAUGACUUUGUCGUCAGUGGCACCUGCGCCGAACAGAUGUACGGGAUGUGCGAGUCCCUCUGGGAGCCCAACACGGACCCGGAGCACCUGUUUGAGACCAUCUCCCAAGCCAUGCUCAACGCCGUGGACCGAGAUGCUGUGUCAGGCACGGGGGUCAUUGUCACAUCAUCGAGAAGGACAAAAUCAUCACCCGGACCCUAAAGGCCCAAAUGGACUGACCCUGCCCCCAGUGCCCACUUGGUUGUUUUUUUUUUUU